rnacentral:lncRNA from 1 species
AUUGUGGCGGUGCGGGCUGAUAGAGAUGUCAGAGUCGCUUCGCUAAUCUUAGGCAGCCCGAGCCCUGUGUGAGAGCAAACGAGGCCCAUAUUGAGCCUGGCGUGACGGGGAGGACCACCAGGAGAAAGCUGCGAGGGGGCCAGCGGCUGGACAAAUCAAAGCAGAAGAAAAAGAUAGACCACCUCCAAGAAAAGUCUAAAGAGUCCAAGAAAGUAUGCAAUGGACUCUGAGUGGAUGAACCAUGGACCAAGUUUUUGUUUUAGUGGACAAAUGGAGAUGGACAGCUAAAGGAGAAGGGCAAUCGACCAUGGACUGGAGACCUCAGGUUCUGUUCGACAGCAGUGCUGCAUUUCAUAUACAUGGAGCUGUACCUUGUAAGGAUGACCCAUNGACAAGACUGUGAAGAAAGAUGGAAUGAAGAACUUCCUCCUGGUUCCAGCUAAUCACAGUUUACUGAGGCACAAGUCUGUUCACCAAUGAGACCCAUUACUCUGAAUGUGUCAACAGUGUCAGAGUAUCCACAUCCAGGUAUGGACAUCAUGACUCUGAGUUCAUUGCAAUGUGUAGAUUUGACCAAAUAAAAGAAAUAUUCUGUACUUUAAAA